rnacentral:lncRNA from 1 species
GUGAGGUCACUGUUGAAGCUUCUGCCAGAGUAAUGCUCGUGAGAAACUGAUAAUACCGAAAUAUAGAGAGCAAAAUACCAAAUGAAGGACAAAUCAAGCUUAAAACAAGUGGAGCAAUAAUUGUUUACACUACAUGGAGAAACCAAAUGUUUCGGUCCCAUCAAUGAGGUUGUGAGCAGAUAUUUAAUAUUUCUAUUUAGUUUGUGGCUCCUAUAUUUAUGAUGUGGGAAGAAAAUGGGGAACGAAGACGUGGUUGUGGGUCUAAUCUCUUGAGAAGACGUGGUUGUGGGUCUAAUCUCUUGAUGGGACCCAUAAAUUGAACAACGGUAAAUUAUUGUAGACACAUUCAACGGUUAAUUGUCAUGAUGUAUCACAAAACACUAGACUAGCUCCAGGCUCCACACAAACAUGCUAUGUUUGCAAGGUUAAUCUAGUAAGUUUUCUAGUUUGUCGAAGCAGAGAUGGCAAGUUCGACCCAUGUACAACGUACCAAACAGGUAGAAUAUAAAAACAGCUAAAAACAAAAUGGGUUGCCCGUGGUGUAUUUUACCGAAUCCAAAAUCAUGCUACUGAUAUUAUUCUUAUUGAAAUAAUAUAAUUCUGGUAAUCAGAUGUUGGACAAAAGGUGUAUUCGGUCAAUCUCACUUGAUUCUACUCGUAGACAAAAAUAACCAUUUUUGAGUAAAAUGCCAUUUUCGUUCCUGAAUUUUGAAAAUAUUACAGAGUAAAAUGUCAUUUUCGUCCCUAAGGUUUGGCAAGUUUUGCGACUUUCGUCCAAAGGUUUGUUUUUCCGCAUCUGGAUCCAAAAGGUUUGAAAUCUUGCCAUUUUCAUCCGGCUCAUUAACUCCAUCCAUUUUUCUCCGUUAAGUCAAGGGUAUUUUUGUCUUU